CACCUGCAUUAUUUGACGUUACCUACAGAAGAAGCACCGGCUAACUCCGUGCCAGCAGCCGCGGUAAUACGGAGGGUGCGAGCGUUAAUCGGAAUUACUGGGCGUAAAGCGCAUGCAGGCGGCCUUGUUAAGUCAGAUGUAGAAACGGCCCGGGGCUUAACCUCGGAAUUGCAUUUGAAACUGGCAGGCUAGAGUCUUGUAGAGGGGGGUAGGAAUUUCAGGUGUAGCGGUGAAAUGCGUAGAGAUCUGAAGGAAUACCAGUGGCGAAGGCGGCCCCUGGACAAAGACUGACGCUCAGAUGCGAAAGCGUGGGGAGCAAACAGGAUUAGAUACCCUGGUAG
rnacentral:rRNA from 1 species